rnacentral:rRNA from 1 species
CGUGUAGGCGGCUUGGUAAGUCAGAUGUGAAAGCCCAGGGCUCAACCCUGGAAGUGCAUUUGAUACUGCCAUGCUUGAGUAUGGGAGAGGAGAGCGGAAUUCCCAGUGUAGAGCUGAAAUUCGUAGAUAUUGGGAGGAACACCCGUGGCGAAGGCGGCUCUCUGGACCAAUACUGACGCUGAGACGCGAAAGCGUGGGGAGCAAACAGGAUUAGAUACCCUGGUAGUCC